UACGUAGGGUCCGAGCGUUGUCCGGAAUUAUUGGGCGUAAAGAGCUCGUAGGCGGUUUGUCGCGUCUGCUGUGAAGACUGGAGGCUCAACCUCCAGCCUGCAGUGGGUACGGGCAGACUAGAGUGCGGUAGGGGAGAUUGGAAUUCCUGGUGUAGCGGUGGAAUGCGCAGAUAUCAGGAGGAACACCGAUGGCGAAGGCAGAUCUCUGGGCCGUAACUGACGCUGAGGCGCGAAAGCGUGGGGAGCGAACGGG
rnacentral:rRNA from 1 species